rnacentral:rRNA from 1 species
GAGUUUGAUUCUGGCUCAGGAUGAACGCUGGCGGCGUGCUUAACACAUGCAAGUCGAACGGACGAAUCUUAUCGGAGUUUUUCGGAACAAAGAAAAGAUAAGUUAGUGGCGGACGGGUGCGUAACGUGUGGGUAAUCUGCCUUUGUCAUGGGAAUAACUGCUUGAAAGAGCAGCUAAUACCGAAUAACAUAUGCAAUAGGCAUCUAUUGGAUAUCAAAGAGAAAUCGGACAAAGAUGAGCCCGCAUCUGAUUAGCUAGUUGGUAGGGUAACAGCCUACCAAGGCAACGAUCAGUAGCCGACCUGAGAGGGUGAACGGCCACAUUGGAACUGAGACACGGUCCAAACUCCUACGGGAGGCAGCAGUGGGGAAUAUUGCACAAUGGGGGGAACCCUGAUGCAGCAACGCCGCGUGAGUGAAGAAGGCUUUCGA